GACGAACGCUGGCGGCACGCUUAACACAUGCAAGUCGAGCGGAAAGGCCUGCUUUCCCUUGUGGAUUGCGGGUACUCGAGUGGCGAACGGGUGAGUAACAUGUGAGUGAUCUGCCCCCAACUUGGGUAUAAGCCUGGGAAACUGGGUCUAAUUCCCGAUAGGACUGCAGGGUGGUGCCUGUGGUGGAAAACGAUUUUCUAGUGGUUGGGGAUGAGCUCGCGGCCUAUCAGCCUGUUGGUGGGGUAAUGGCCUACCAAGGCGGCGACGGGUAGCCGGCCUGAGAGGGUGGACGGCCACAUUGGGACUGAGAUACGGCCCAGACUCCUACGGGAGGCAGCAGUGGGGAAUAUUGCACAAUGGGCGGAAGCCUGAUGCAGCGACGCCGCGUGGGGGAUGACGGCCUUCGGGUUGUAAACUCCUUUCGACCGCGAGGAAGCCACCUGGUUGGAAGGGUGGUGACGGUAGUGGUAGAAGAAGCACCGGCUAACUACGUG
rnacentral:rRNA from 1 species